UCAGGUUUAUGGCUAGAGAAACUGAGAGAAUUAUGGGACAUUCAUCUUAAUGAGGGAAACAGGAGGUAAACAAAUACGAUGAAAGAAAAAUCAAAUAUUUAAAUAUGAUACAUAUUCCUUCAUCUCAAAAAUACAUAGAUUUCAUAAUUAAACUGGAGUGUUAGGGGCGUCUAUUUGGAGAAGCAGCUCAACAUUACUAUAGUGUGAUUCACAGGGGUGUUCAUUUCAGAAAGGACUCACCUACUGUGAAAGAGAAAAUAUAUUUUGACCUAGAUUCCUAUGCUUAAGAUAUGAAACCUCAAGACUAGUGUCUGUCCUUCUAAUACACAAGGGACAUUGAUCAACUAUGAACACCAUGUCAACCUAUUUCCAAGCCCACAAAACUUGUAUCACUAAGCUGUCUUGAGUUAAAAUAUGACCAUGUACUGGCAAAUAUAGUCUUAAAAUAAUAAAUGAAUAAAUAUUCCACAUCACUCUAUUUCAGGAUUUCUCAAACUCAACUGGCAUUUAUUUUGAACUAGAUGAUUCUUCGUCAGGGCAAGGGAGGCAAUAGGGAUGUAGAGGAACAUCUUGAUCCCCAUCUAGUAGAGAGUAGUAUCCUCAAGUGUCACACCAAAAACGUCUCCAGGCACUUGCAGAUAGUCCCUGUGGACAGGGGAUGGUGAUGUAAAAUCACUCCCAACUGAGAAUCACCAUCUGAAUCUGAACUUAAGAGAUGGAUGGUGGUUAUAGGCAAUUUUAGCUGAUAAUGUGUUAUUAAGAUACAGACAGGACAUUUUCAAUGUAGAAUUCACACUAAUUAAUUGACUGAAGGAAUGUUGAAGACAGUGAUCUAUACUUCCGAAGCAGCAGACAGUGUGUCCUUUUCUCUCCCUCCUUUUUUCACUCCCUAACAUGAAUUAAGUAGUAUCCAUAGAUUCCAAGUAUUCAAGUUACUCUUUGAAGCCAGAAUAUUUUUCUCUGAGCCCUCAUAAGACUCCCCUCCCCCCAACAGGUUUAGAAACUGUCAGUCCUCCAACUUUCCAAGCCUGAACUUUAUCCUCUAUUAUCAUCUUCCAAAAAGUCAUCUCUUAUCUUACCUGCUCUGUGUAAGGCAGUUUGUGCACAGUUGCUAGUUAUUAUCAUUAGUUCUGACUGGUUUGAAUGAUUGAUGAUAUUUCUAAUGUAGUCACUGGGAUUCUUUCAUGGCCUUAAUGGUUACAGAAAUCACGGAUCUCCUUAAAAUGGAAAGGGGAAGGAGGAUUGUAUAAUUAAAUAUCUGAAAAGCUUUAACUGAAUGCAUUUUUCAAGAUAAGAGUAUUUUGGAAAUUCAUAAGCAUAGCAAGAAGACAUGUAUACCUAAAGCAUAAGUGUGUCGUGACAAUAUCUGGUAUUCAGAUAACAUUUUUACAAUAAAAUAUUUUGUGGAUUGGAGAUAAAUAGCAUGAUCUGGUCAGACACAUAUAUUUUUGCCUUAAAUUAUCUUGUCAGAUAAAAUAGUUGAACAGACAUUAUAUUGAUUUUUCACUCCCUAGACUGGUCUUAGUUCUGUAGAAAUAAGUCUAUGAAAAAUAAGCUCUCACAUAGGAGAUACUUUCUUGGGAGAUAAGGAUCCCAGAGAAAGACAGAUGUGCUCCAACUGGCGAGAGCUGGAGUUCAAGGGUUGUUACUAUAUGAAAGAACACUGCUGCAGUCAAGGGCUGUUAAGAAUACAGGUGAUGAAUUGCUUCUUUAGAAUGUGCUGUGAGAUUAUGUAUACUACUCAGGAUUUCUUUUUCUGAUAAAGAAAUGUCAAAAUAAGUUUGACCCCUGAACACCCAAGUUCUUAGAUUGAGGAGGGCAUCACUGCCUGCCCUUUGCUGAGAUUGUCAACUUUAAGUAUCAGAAGUGAAAAUUCUCCUGAAACUAUUGACGGAACCAUGGAUAGCUCAAGUAUUUUACAGAAUAAUUAUGAAUGUAUGAAUGUUACUGAGUUUUUCUUUUCCUAUUUCAACCAAUUAAAAAGCUAUCUUGUCUGACCUAGAAAAACUUUUGGAUAAUUUCUUGAACUCAAGUGCAUCUGAUACACAGCCAGAGGCAGUAAAUCAAUGGACAGUAAUUUUAAGUACAUAUGGAUAAAGGAUAAGAACUGACAUCUUGAAUUUACAUCUUUCUCCCAAAUUUGAUUGCCUUCCUUCUCUGCAACAUCAAGGUUUUAUUUUUAAUAUAUAUGUAACACUUUCAAGGUCCUUGGAGUCUUUAGUCUUCAACCUGGAUAUUCUCCUCAAAACAGAAGUGAAAAAUAAAGAUCUUUAGACAAGAAUGUAAACUGCUGGACACUUACAUGGUUUGUCUCUCUUCAACUUGAAGAAGUAUUGUGACCUAAAGGAUUUUCAUGUAAAAAGAAUAAAUGUACUUCUCCAUUCUUC